rnacentral:rRNA from 1 species
CACGUAGUUAGCCGGCGCUUCUUCUGCAAGUACCGUCACUUUCGCUUCUUCCUUACUGAAAGAGGUUUACAACCCGAAGGCCGUCAUCCCUCACGCGGCGUCGCUGCAUCAGGCUUUCGCCCAUUGUGCAAUAUUCCCCACUGCUGCCUCCCGUAGGAGUCUGGGCCGUGUCUCAGUCCCAGUGUGGCCGGUCACCCUCUCAGGCCGGCUACCCGUCGUCGCCUUGGUGAGCCACUACCUCACCAACAAGCUGAUAGGCCGCGAGUCCAUCCCCAACCAAAAAAUCUUUCCAACACCCACCAUGCGGUAAAUGUUCAUAUCCAGUAUUAGACCCAAUUUCUCAGGCUUAUCCCAGAGUCAGGGGCAGGUUACUCACGUGUUACUCACCCGUUCGCCACUAAUCCACCUAGCAAGCUAGGCAUCAUCGUCGACUUGCAUGUGUUAAGCACGCCGCCAGCGUUCAUCCUGAGCCAGGACUCAAACUCU